UAUAUUCCGCCACCAAAGCCAACUGGCUAUUCAUAUCCAAUACCGGCAAAGCCUUUCACAUACAGCACCCAGAAGUCACUUCCAAUUACAACCACAACCCAACGACCAGUUUGCAAAGCACCACUGGUCGGUGAAUAUCCAAACUGUCAAUUACCUCCAUGUCCGUCCGGCUAUAGAGGAACCUUCCCAUCAUGCUACAAACCAACCACUCCAAAACCAAUUCCAAGCACAUAUCUACCACCAACAACACCAGCACCAACAUACAAUCCACCACCAACUGGAUAUGUAUACCCUAAACCUGCAAUCAAAUUCACCCUACCUCCAUCAACAAGCACCACACAAAAAUCACUUCCAAUUGUAACCUAUCUGCCGCCAAGUACAACCACAACAC